UACGAAGGGUGCAAGCGUUACUCGGAAUUACUGGGCGUAAAGCGUGCGUAGGUGGUUUGUUAAGUCUGAUGUGAAAGCCCUGGGCUCAACCUGGGAAUUGCAUUGGAUACUGGCAGGCUAGAGUGCGGUAGAGGAUGGGCGGAAUUCCCGGUGUAGCAGUGAAAUGCGUAGAGAUCGGGAGGAACAUCUGUGGCGAAGGCGGCCAUCUGGACCAGCACUGACACUGAGGCACGAAAGCGUGGGGAGCAAACAGGG
rnacentral:rRNA from 1 species